rnacentral:lncRNA from 1 species
AUCCUCCUCAACUGAACUGACAGUUUCUAGUCCUCCCUCCUGAGCUCUUCUUCUCUGCCCUCCUGCCUCCUCCUCCUCCUCCCCAAGUUGAAGGGCCUUCCUUUCCUUCCAGCUGUUUGACAGGAACAUUCCCUGUAUCGUGUCCUCCUCCUCCUCUUUGGGGUGCCGUUCAUCUUUUUCUCUUUCUGAGAGCGAUAAAGGCAGAAUGACAGCAAGAAGGAUGGAUAAGGAAGGUAUUUGAAAAGUGUUAUCCUGUUCUCCUCUUUCCCCCAGUAGCACGAGAAAUUAAAUCCAAAUGUGUCCAACUCGAAAGCUUAGCUCACAACCACCAGAUUAUAGACCCCGAUACUACAGAACUAGAGUAGGGUGGACUUGGGAUUGAACCCAGGUUUAUUCCAGCCUCAAAAUCCAAGUCUUUCCGUGAAACCAUUUUUCCUUCUCCUUCCACCCACAGAAAGCACCCCCAGACCCUGUCCCGUCCAGACCCAUCCUGGGACCUCCAUUCUGUACCGUAGCAGGUGCAGAGCCCCAGGACCCUCCAGGCAUAGCAGUGGCAGCACCUUCUUGCUCCCUCCCCAGCAGAGUCCAGGCUGCAUUAGGGGCAGAAACACCCGAGACCUGUCUUUGGGAGCACCUGCGCAUUUGCUCGCCUGCUUCAGAUCUUGAGCGCCUUUUAAUAGGUUUGUUUUAUGGUUGGUUUUAUUCCUCCAACAGUGAGUGGAUUUCAUUUGGCCGUGUAAAGGAGGAAAGGUGGUGUGUGAGCUCAGGCUGAUGUGAAGGAUGCUGAAGUUUUCCACUGGCCUCAAAAAGCUGCUUGAGAAACUUACUCUGCUGCGUUGGUGCAAGCUUUGUUUUAUUUUGUUUUCCCCUCAGCCAGGUAUUCAGAAUAUGUUUCACUCACCUGGAGAGUUGCAUCGUCUUGACAAACACAAGGCAAUUAAGAGACUUCCAGCUGCUCCUGCUGCUACUGUGUAUUCAGGGGGAGGGAGAAAUGAUGGCUGGCCUCUCCAAAGUGCCUUUGCUGCAUUCGUCUGGUUUUCAUGA